GCAGUGGUGGUUCAGUGGUAGAAUAUUCACCUUCCAUGUGGGAGACCUGGGUUCGAUCCCCAGCUGUUGCA